AUUGAACGCUGGCGGCAGGCCUAACACAUGCAAGUUGAGCGGUAGCACAGAGAGCUUGCUCUCGGGUGACGAGCGGCGGACGGGUGAGUAAUGUCUGGGAAACUGCCUGAUGGAGGGGGAUAACUACUGGAAACGGUAGCUAAUACCGCAUAACGUCGCAAGACCAAAGAGGGGGACCUUCGGGCCUCUUGCCAUCAGAUGUGCCCAGAUGGGAUUAGCUAGUAGGUGGGGUAACGGCUCACCUAGGCGACGAUCCCUAGCUGGUCUGAGAGGAUGACCAGCCACACUGGAACUGAGACACGGUCCAGACUCCUACGGGAGGCAGCAGUGGGGAAUAUUGCACAAUGGGCGCAAGCCUGAUGCAGCCAUGCCGCGUGUAUGAAGAAGGCCUUCGGGUUGUAAAGUACUUUCAGCGGGGAGGAAGGUGUUGAGGUUAAUAACCUCAGCAAUUGACGUUACCCGCAGAAGAAGCACCGGCUAACUCCGUGCCAGCAGCCGCAGUAACAC
rnacentral:rRNA from 1 species